GACGAACGCUGGCGGCGUGCCUAAUACAUGCAAGUUGAGCGAUGAAGCUUGGUGCUUGCACCAAUUUGAAGAGCAGCGAACGGGUGAGUAACGCGUGGGGAAUCUGCCUUUGAGCGGGGGACAACAUUUGGAAACGAAUGCUAAUACCGCAUAAUAACUUUAAACAUAAGUUUUAAGUUUGAAAGAUGCAAUUGCAUCACUCAAAGAUGAUCCCGCGUUGUAUUAGCUAGUUGGUGAGGUAAAGGCUCACCAAGGCGAUGAUACAUAGCCGACCUGAGAGGGUGAUCGGCCACAUUGGGACUGAGACACGGCCCAAACUCCUACGGGAGGCAGCAGGAGGGAAUCUUCGGCAAUGGACGAAAGUCUGACCGAGCAACGCCGCGUGAGUGAAGAAGGUUUUCGGAUCGUAAAACUCUGUUGGUAGAGAAGAACGUUGGUGAGAGUGGAAAGCUCAUCAAGUGACGGUAACUACCCAGAAAGGGACGGCUAACUACGUG
rnacentral:rRNA from 1 species